rnacentral:lncRNA from 1 species
CGACAUUUAAUGAACCUCUCUAUCUUUAAAGCAAUGUCUAACCACCCAGCAUUCAAUGCUAGCUCUGGAAUGAUUAAGCCUGUCCUUCCCCCUCUAUAUAGAGAUAUAAUACUUACAAAUCUCCCAUAUUCAUUGUGAUUCCUUGUACAGAAGUGGUCUGAGUCUUUAUCUGUCAAUUUCCAUCUCUUGGUCUCCUUCCUUUUCUCUUUUGAUGCUUCUCUCAGACAGAAGCAUAUCCACUCCAUAACCUUCCUACUCAUGGAAGAUCUGCGCAUCAUCUUCCUGCUUCUCUCUACCCAUUCAUACCUUUCAGUUGCAUCAUUUCCCCAUCGAGUGAUGUCAAAUGAUUUGAACCCUGCAUUAAAAUAGAUUUUAUUCUCCUCCAUCCUAGCAGUGUGGUUUAAAAGACCUGAUUUUUUGGUGGAAGUUGCCGGAAAUUAGCCAGAAAGUGGCGUUGUUGAAGCUGAAGACGCUGAAAAUCGGACAGAAGGGCCUCACAGAUCUGACUUUUGGUGGAAGUUGCCGGAAAGUAGCGUUGUUGAAGCUGGAGAAACAAGAAAUCUGAAAUAAGGGCCUCACAGAUCUGAUUUUUGGAGGAAGUUGCCGUAAAGUAGCGGUCUUGAAGCUGAAAAGUGAAAGAUCUGACAGAAUGUCCUCACGCGCCAGCGCGUGAGGCGCGUGACGCCGGAGCUUAGGAAGUCGGAGACGCGUGUGAGCGCGUGGGAUGGUUUUUGUUGGUGGGUUUCCUGGGGUUUGGUCGGAAGUUGAUGGUGAUGGCUAUGGUCGGGAAGGAUUGAGAGAAGAAGGAAGCAAAAGAGGGAUUCCGGUGAUCCGAAGGACCACCGGUGAGAUUUGGUUUGAAAAUGUUAUUCUUUUUUUAAAUUACAUUGGGAUUAGUGCCUGAGAGAAAAAAGAGCUUUUCCCUGAUCCCUCGUAACUUUUGGGAAACACAAAAUUUAGUUAUGAGAUUUGGAAAAUUUAAAAUAUAUUUAUUUACUUAUCACAGAAAACUUUUGAGUAGAGUUCUCUUUUAAGAUUCACAACAGCGAGUGAUAUCUCAUAAUCAUGAACUAUAGAAAGCAAGGGAAGUUUCAUUCAAUUGUAAUUCUGAGAUUUGAUUCAAAAUUAGUGUGGAAUUCAAGUGUUUAAAAACACUUACUAAUAAACAGUAAAUAGUAAGUGUUCAAACAUUGGGCUUAAAUAAAGUGCAAAAUAGACUUCAGUGGAUUCCCAGUACCUAGUUACAUAAGGAACCAAUCUUCUGUAAUCUCUCCUCCGUCCAAGUGCACAACUAUCAAGUACUCUCCCUAGCAUCAGCCUCGUGUUUUGCAGUGCUAAUUCUUUGGCUGACAGACCUUAUCUUACUCAGAUGCAUUGGGUUGCGCUACUGAUGUGGAACCAGCUCCAAGUCCGAGCAUUGCAAACUGCAAUGACCCACUUCGAGCCUUAAAUGAGGUCUGAGGUGCAAGAAUCUUCUCUUCAGCGGCAGCAAAUCCAUUCUCAAAUUGUCCCAACUCAUGCGGAUGUGAUCCAGGUAAGCUACAGCUCUGCAAGAGGGCUUCUAAUAACACUGAAGUGCCUCCCAACACAAAGUGCUCUCUACCAACUGAGAUACAAUUGCAUACAUGUGGACUUUGAGCAGCAUCCAUCUGAGUGUGCUGAAGCAAUGCCUUCAGCAUAAGUAGUAUGAUCUCAAGAAGACAAAGGAGGUGCUCAAAUGCUAGAGCCGAGUGCUUGGGGAACCAUUCCUUGCCUAAUGGUGAAACACAUGCUAGAAAGUGUUCUACACUUCUGAUCUCACCAUGGGAGUAAGCCAUGAAAACAGUAGCCAAUUCAUCUAUUGCUCAGCACAACACUAUUACUCAGCAUUUAUGGUUUCCUGCAAGGCUUAUAUUAAGCACAACACUAUUAUGGUUUCCUGCAAGGCUUAUAUUAAGCACAACACUAUUAUGGUUUCCUGCAAGGCUUAUAUUAAGCACAACACUAUUACUCAGCAUUUAUGUACCUAAGAAGCGUGAAUGAGCUCAUAACCUGUCAAAGCAAAGAGCUUAUGAUGACUCAAAAUACAGUUCUCUUUUCUGGCACAAUAGUAAUAGGGGAGGGAAAUGAAAAACCACAAGGAGGAAAAGAACUCCAGUUUUGGAAUAUUUGCAUAGUCUAAGUAGGUGUUAAAAUUUCUUGGAGUUGGAGUUAAAAAUGGAGUUUGGAGUGUGUUUGGCCAUGAAUAUAUAUUGGAGUUGUUUUUGACUUUUUAUGAGAGAAGCAAAAGCGAAAAAAGUGAAACAAGUUUAAUUUGUUUUCACUUUUCCAAAAACAAUUCCAAAUUGUAUUUGGAAUUCUUAUGGCCAAACACUACAAUUUUCACUAAAGUGAAAUAAUUUUCCUAAAAAAAAAAGUGAAAAAUUCUCAUGGCCAAACACUCCCUAACUUGCUCCAUAUUUAUAUUUUGGAUUGCUUUAUUCCAAACUUGACUCCGAUAUUGAACACACUUUUCUUACGUUUCUUAACGAAAUACCGAAAUAAUCUUUCAAUAACCAUGGUUUUACACAUGUAGGUAGGUGCAUUUGGAAGUUCGCGUAAGAUAUGAACAAACCAUCUCAAACACCAUUUCUCAUUGUAUUCUGUAGAAACAUUCAUAGAGGAUAAAGCAUUUGAGGUUGUUUGAAACAGUUUGUAGAUGUCCUACAUAGACAACUGGAUGGUGUGCGUUAAACCAAAAUGACUAAAG